UGCCCUUGGGUGUGGUUAAAUAUUAAUAUCAGAAGUUUCACAUAUGUCUUAUUCUCUUUCAUAACUUUCCCCCUUCUUCUUUUCCAGGAUAACACAUACCGUGCUGGCCACUUUCAAAUGUCACUUCUGCAAGAAGCCUUCCUUGAUCCCCCACAUAAUUUCACUCAGACUGUCUCCUUUUCUGGUUUGAUGAAACAAGCAGCCAUGGUUCAUGUGGCAAGGGCCACAGCCCAACAUCCCUGGAGGAAAUCAAUUUCACAAACAACCACUGAGUUUGGAGGUAGAUCCUUCCCCCAUGGAAUCUAGACUGUGAGAGAACCUGAAGCAGAGGACCCAUUUCAGCCAGCCCGGAUUCCCAACCCACAGAAACUGAGGUAAUAAAUGUGUGUCACUUUAAGCCACUGAGUUUUAGAAUAAUUUGUUAUGCAGCAGUAGAUAACUAAUCCAGAUGGUGUCAAACAGAAAGUAGGUGGAUGGUAAGGGUAGGUGGUAUUUUAGAAAGAGUUCUGGGAGUGGGG
rnacentral:lncRNA from 1 species